UGUAUGGAUUUGCCUAUUUUUGAUGUUUUG
rnacentral:piRNA from 1 species